UCAUAUUGCUUCAAUCUGAUAAAACUUUUUUGGCUUUUGAAUUUCCAUUUGUUUGCUAAUUGUCCUUUUGUUUAUUUAUGCGCCUCUACAGUCUAAGGAUAUGACAGUAGACCUCAAGUUUGAAGCUGAAGGACUAAUCAGGUUAGCUAACAAGAUUGGCAGUCUUCAAACAUGUGUACUUCGCCCUAGCAAUGUCUUUGGAUCUGGUGAAGCACAAUUUGUGCCUUUGCUAGUGAAUCUAGCCAAAUUCGGUUUGGCAAAGAUACUAUACUGAUCCCUCUGGCACAUUUUGGCAAUGCAAUGCAAAAGUUUUAGGCUCAAGUUCCGAAGGUGCAGACAGCUCUUUGCAAGAGCAAUACAACAAGGACCUGACUCUUCAAGAAGCUGAAACUAUUGCUCUGUCCAUUUUAAAGUAAGUAAUAGAAGAGAAGUUGACUCCCAACAAUGUUGAUAUUGCUGACUUUAGGGAGCAGUACUCGAAGUACUUGUUCUUCAUAAGCUUAUUUCUUAAACAAAAUAACUUAUAUUGUGUAGUAAUUGAUUGUGAGGUAGCUUUAUACGUAUCUGAGUCUUUUUAUACUAACUAUUUAUUGCAAUUGGUUCCAAAUAUUUGGUGAAUUCAAUUAUUAAUUUGCACUGCUAGUUUCCUGGUGUCAUAUGCCUUUUGUGUUAGAAUUUGAAUUGUUCCCCCUAAACAAUUUUCUCUAUGUACAGGUUUGAUUGUGGCAUGUUUAUGUUAAAAUAAAUCGACUUCUAUAGCAGAGGCUUAAGUCUUUGUUUUGAGCAGGAACACAUGCCCUAUUUUCAUUUAAGGACCGCCAAGGAAAUUCUGAAACUGAAAGCUGAUUGAUCGGAUGUGUAUGCCGGCUUUCAUCAACUACUUUCGAAGGCCUUACUAGGAAUUGAAAUGGUGUGCAAAGAGAUUGC